GGUUAAGCGACUAAGCGUACACGGUGGAUGCCCUGGCAGUCAGAGGCGAUGAAGGGCGUGCUAAUCUGCGAUAAGCGCCGGUAAGGUGAUAUGAACCGUUAUAACCGGCGAUACCCGAAUGGGGAAACCCAGUGUGAUUCGUCACACUAUCAUUAACUGAAUCCAUAGGUUAAUGAGGCGAACCGGGGGAACUGAAACAUCUAAGUACCCCGAGGAAAAGAAAUCAACCGAGAUUCCCCCAGUAGCGGCGAGCGAACGGGGAGGAGCCCAGAGCCUGAAUCAGCAUGUGUGUUAGUGGAAGCGUCUGGAAAGGCGCGCGAUACAGGGUGACAGCCCCGUACACAAAAGCGUAUGUGCUGUGAGCUCGAUGAGUAGGGCGGGACACGUGGUAUCC
rnacentral:rRNA from 1 species